CACUGGUGGAUUAGUGGCGAACGGGUGAGUAACACGUGAGUAACCUGCCCCUGACUUCGGGAUAAGCCCGGGAAACUGGGUCUAAUACCGGAUAUGACUUCCUGCUGCAUGGCAGGGGGUGGAAAGAUUUAUCGGUUGGGGAUGGACUCGCGGCCUAUCAGCUUGUUGGUGAGGUAAUGGCUCACCAAGGCGACGACGGGUAGCCGGCCUGAGAGGGUGACCGGCCACACUGGGACUGAGACACGGCCCAGACUCCUACGGGAGGCAGCAGUGGGGAAUAUUGCACAAUGGGCGAAAGCCUGAUGCAGCGACCCCCCGUGAGGGAUGACGGCCUUCGGGUUGUAAACCUCUUUCAGUAGGGAAGAAGCCCCUUUUUGGGGUGACGGUACUUGCAGAAGAAGCGCCGGCUAACUACGUGCCAGCAGCCGCGGUAAUACGUAGGGCGCAAGCGUUAUCCGGAAUUAUUGGACGUAAAGAGCUCGUAUGCCGUUUGUCCCGUCUGCCGUGAAAAAUCCGAGAGCUCAACCUCGGAUCUGCGGUGGGUACGGGCAUACUAGAGUUGUUGUAGGGGGAAACUGGGAAUUUCCUGGUGUUUCCGGUGAACAUGUGCCGAAUAUUAGGUGCAAAACCCAUGGGGAAAG
rnacentral:rRNA from 1 species